UGCUGCUCAGCAACUUCACCCACAGCAACCAUGACUUUGAUCAGCGUCUUCAUCUGCACACUGGCCCUCUGGACUCAAGGAUCCAGAGGUCAGGUGACUGUGACUCAGACUCCUUCACAGCAAACUGUUGUUCCAGGAAACACAGUCGCCAUCAACUGUAGAACCAGUCUCAGAGUGUAUAAUGGUAAUUUUCUACAUUGGUACCUGCAGAAACCUGGAGAAGCUCCUAAACUCCUGAUCUAUAGGGCUACUAGCUUAUACUCAGGAACUCCAGCUCGUUUCACAGGCAGUGGAUCUGAUACUGACUUCACUCUGACCAUCAGUGGAGUCCAGACUGAAGAUGCAGGAGAUUACUACUGCCUUAGUGACCUUCAGAUCCGUGGUGUCUCAGUGUUCACACAGUGUUAGAGCGUCGUACAAAAACCUCGGUCGGUGAGAGUGCACAGAGAAGCACUGCUGCAGCUGGGAGCGACUGCAGGUGCUGAGGGGGAGGAAGUGAUACAAGACAAUGACACACACUGUGGAUGAGAGAAAACACAUCAUACUAAGAGGCCGUGAUAAUGCAAAUAAAUAUGCUCUCACUUGUAUUAAUCACUCUUUCCCCAAUCUUAAGUAGAUAGAAUGGUAUUCUAACUUCAGGCUAGUAAAUAAACUUUGACAGUUGGCAGUUCAGAUAUUAGACCAAUGUUAGUUUCUUUCAAUUCAAAAUGAUGCCUUUUGGACUGGCAUGCUAUGCUGAAACGAACACCAUCUCCAUUAUCAACAUUUUAUAAAAAAAUUAACAUUAGCUAGCUAGCUAACAUAGGCAAAUGCUGGUGUGGUUUCAGUAGCUUGCCAGGUUUGUAAGCUAACUAGCUCAUGUUAAUUUAUACUUGUUUCUAGCUACUUAGUUAGAUAUCUAGCAAAGGUGCCCCUUAAACAUAUCCUGAGUGUCACCUAUAGGCUGUAGCAGAUAUAUUUAAGACAAUACGUGAUUGCUAUGGAGCUCUUAAGUGAUAUCUUACGUUUAAUACAGAGCUUUCAUACUGUUAAAUAUCAACAUCUCCAUGGGUUUUGGAUUGCAUAAAUUGCAGAUCAUCAUCAUGCUGUUUCCGAAGAUACCUGAUAAAUUGGUCUUAUUAAAAAAAAAAAAAAAAAAGAAAUAUUUGAGGAAUACCGCCUGCUACUGUAGACAAUAAGCAGAUAAGAUGACCAAUCCUACCUGCUUCUGUAGGAGGUUUGACCAAUCCUGCUUCCUCCUGUGUAUCUGAGAUCUGAGAUUUGCAUUAACAGCACUAAAUAGUUUCAUUUCUCCCAGAAUAGAGCAGAAAUUUCACCAGAUGUUCAACUUCCUUCAGUCAAACUCACUGAAGCACAACACACAGCACUGAAUCUACAGCUAAUCCCACUCUCUCAUCACACUGAUCAUCACUAUUAACUCUAAUAAAAGAACAGACAACGUCCAAAAUUCAGCUUUAUUUCAGCAAAAACUACAGGAAGAUCAACAGGACAGUGAACAGAGUAAAGACAGAAAUGGCAGCAUUGUGUAGAAUUUAAACUCUAUUGUAGAUGGAUCAUAAGCAGCUCUAUGUUAAACUCUAUCUUGGAGCCACUAGCCUUCACACUGACUCUUUCUGAACAUAACAGGAUGAUUGACACCGGCAUGGGAGACCAUACAGACAAACUCCUCCGCUUUUUCCCAGAGGUCUUUGCUGAGGAUCAGGGUGCUGCUGCGACUGUAACGGUCCUUCUUCAGUUCUUCUGCACUGGUCAGAACCCCGUCCUUCACCUCUGAGCCGUCCACUGUCCAGCUCACCAGCGCCCCCUGUGGAGAGUAGCCAGACAGCAGGCAGAGCAGCGAGGCCGAUCCCUCACACAGCUGCAGAGGAGACGGAGGGAGCAGAGACACGGAGGGAGCUGUGGGACCCGCUGGAAACAGCAAACACACACGUUUAGAAAUAUUGUGUAAAUUCUGCGAACUCCAACAGAGCCAAAACUGGAAACUCCAUAGCAGCAGUGUUCCAGCACUAGGAUAACAUUUCUUAAUUACUCUUUACAUCAAUUACUCUCAAUGAACACGAUUGGACUUCAAAUGACAGAAACAACAGAAACAUCCUGAGCUGUCUC